rnacentral:lncRNA from 1 species
GAAAUUUAGAGAGAGAGAAUGUGAUAAAUAAUCUAAACCAGGCGUUACCUUCUAGACCUGUCUGAAGAAUUCGAUCCCAUGUAUACCAAGCCCCAAGACAAGCGGUUAUGUCAGGUUUAGUGUUGGAAAUCAGCUUUGGUUACUUCAUACGGUUCAAGGCAAGUGUGUAGUUGAUAGGUUGAUCCGCUUUAGCAUCUUUAGUGCUAUUUGUAAUUAGUAAAUCUAAAAUGGUGCUAAAUAUUGGUUAGAUAUUCAUGUUUAAAUCAAUAUAAGAUUAUAGUCCCUAUUUUCAAUAGCUAAGCAUAAUUUAUUAAAAUUCCUUUUUACAUAAGAAUAAAAUAAAUUAUAUCAGUUAAUCUCCCCCCAGUGUAACUCAGCCGGAGUUAUGAUGAAUAGUUUACGAUGUAAAAUGUAAC